GACGAACGCUGGCGGCGUGCCUAAUACAUGCAAGUUGAGCGCUGAAGGUUGGUACUUGUACCAACUGGAUGAGCAGCGAACGGGUGAGUAACGCGUGGGGAAUCUGCCUUUGAGCGGGGGACAACAUUUGGAAACGAAUGCUAAUACCGCAUAAAAACUUUAAACACAAGUUUUAAGUUUGAAAGAUGCAAUUGCAUCACUCAAAGAUGAUCCCGCGUUGUAUUAGCUAGUUGGUGAGGUAAAGGCUCUCCAAAGCGAUGAUACAUAGCCGACCUGAGAGGGUUGUCGGCCAAAUUGGGACUGAGACACGGCCCAAAAUCCUACGGGAGGCAGCAGGAGGGAAUCUUCGGCAAUGGACGAAAGUCUGACCGAGCAACGCCGCGUGAGUGAAGAAGGUUUUCGGAUCGUAAAACUCGGUUGGUAGAGAAGAACGUUGGUGAGAGUGGAAAGCUCAUCAAGUGACGGUAACUACCCAGAAAGGGACGGCUAACUACGUG
rnacentral:rRNA from 1 species